AAAGACAAAUCAACACCGCCGCCAUGCUGAAGCAGGUCCUCUUCGUGCUCGCCGCCGUCCUGGCCGCGUCGUGCGCUCAGUACAUCGCCACGCCGUACCUGGCCACCAGCCCGCUGUACCGCGGCUCCGCCUAUUACAGCACCGGGUACGCCUACCCGUACGCCUACAGCGCAUACAGCGCGCCCCUCGCCUACGCGUCGCCGCUGGCCUACUCCACCUACCUGUACCGCUGAGAUGGGGCCGGCUGCCUUUAAUGCCCGACGCACCCGACCUGACAUCCCGCCGAUCGGCCGCUGCACCCCCAGUUAACUCCGCAUUUACGAGGCGUUUUGUACUUUUGGAAAAAAAAAAAUAAAGUUAACCGUCUUUUCUUUC